rnacentral:rRNA from 1 species
AUUGAACGCUGGCGGCAGGCCUAACACAUGCAAGUCGAACGGAGUGGCGGACGGGUGAGUAAUGCCUAGGAAUCUGCCUGGUAGUGGGGGAUAACGUCCGGAAACGGGCGCUAAUACCGCAUACUAUCAGAUGAGCCUAGGUCGGAUUAGCUAGUUGGUGGGGUAAAGGCCUACAAAGGCGACGAUCCGUAACUGGUCUGCGAGGAUGAUCAGUCACACUGGAACUGAGACACGGUCCGAACCCCUACGGGAGGCAGGAGUGGGGAAUGUUGCACAAUGGGCGCAAGCCUUCUGCAGCCAUGCCGCGUGUAUGAAGAAGGCCUUCGGGUUGUAAAAUACUUUCAGCGGGGAGGCGUUACCCGCAGAAGAAGCACCGGGUAACUCCGUGCCAGCAGCCGCGGUAAUUC